rnacentral:tRNA from 1 species
CAGAGAAUAGUUUAAUUAAAAUAUUAGUUUUGGAUAUUGAUGAUGGGUUUGUAAUACUUUUCUCUGA